UACGAAGGGGGCUAGCGUUGCUCGGAAUCACUGGGCGUAAAGGGUGCGUAGGCGGGUAUUUAAGUCAGGGGUGAAAUCCUGGAGCUCAACUCCAGAACUGCCUUUGAUACUGAGUAUCUUGAGUACGGGAGAGGUGAGUGGAACUGCGAGUGUAGAGGUGAAAUUCGUAGAUAUUCGCAAGAACACCAGUGGCGAAGGCGGCUCACUGGCCCGGUACUGACACUGAGGUGCGAAAGCGUGGGGAGCAAACAGG
rnacentral:rRNA from 1 species